rnacentral:rRNA from 1 species
GAUGAACGCUGGCGGCGUGCCUAAUACAUGCAAGUCGAGCGAAUGGAUUAAGAGCUUGCUCUUAUGAAGUUAGCGGCGGACGGGUGAGUAACACGUGGGUAACCUGCCCAUAAGACUGGGAUAACUCCGGGAAACCGGGGCUAAUACCGGAUAACAUUUUGAACCGCAUGGUUCGAAAUUGAAAGGCGGCUUCGGCUGUCACUUAUGGAUGGACCCGCGUCGCAUUAGCUAGUUGGUGAGGUAACGGCUCACCAAGGCAACGAUGCGUAGCCGACAUGGGAGGGUGAUCGGCCACACUGGGACUGGGACACGGCCCAGACUCCUACGGGAGGCAGCAGUAGGGAAUCUUCCGCAAUGGACGAAAGUCUGACGGAGCAACGCCGCGUGAGUGAUGAAGGCUUUCGGGUCGUAAAACUCUGUUGUUAGGGAAGAACAAGUGCUAGUUGAAUAAGCUGGCACCUUGACGGUACCUAACCAGAAAGCCACGGCUAACUACGUGCCAGCCGCCGCAGUAA